CACUGUAUGAUCUCUCUCUCUCUCUCUCUCUCUCUCUCUCUCUCUCUCUCUCUCUCUCUCUCUCUCACACACACACACACACACACACACACACUCUCUCUCUCUCUCUCUCUCUCUCUUUCUCUCUCUCUCUCUGUCUCUCUCUCUUUCAUCUCUAUAUCUCUGCCCUGGCCUGUGUGCACUCAGAUACAACAGCAGAGAGAUCAGUGAGAUCAGUGUCAAGCUCAGGGUUGUUCUUACUCACUGGUACCUGCCACCUGUUGAACAUCCAGAUUCUGUGGGCUCAUCAUGGGAAACUGCACUUCAGGGAUAAAGAUGAAAAGGAAAGGGGGUUCUUCUCCAGAUGAUAACAGAAGCGCAGAUAAUAAGCCUAAGGAGGAUGUAACGUAUGCCUCUAUUGACCACAACUCUGCCAAAGGAUCAAGAAGAACCAGACCUACCCCUGACGAUGAUUGUGACUAUGCAACAGUUAAUAUCCCAGCAGCACUUCAACCUCAGUCUGACAGCUCAUCUAAAGAAGAAUGUGAUGAUGAUUAUGUACUCAUGGGGUGAACAGAAACUAGAGGUAACGUUCAUUCAGGCUGUUGGAAGAUGCAGGAUCAGUAGAUAAUAUCUCAAGUGGGAGUGAGUGUCUAAUAUUGUGUAAUGACAUCCAAGAACUUGUUUGCUGUUGAACUGCCAAGUUUCCAGUCAAACUGUUCAUCAGAUCUUCUCAAUCAUCUUCAAUGAAGAAACUGUGAUAAAAUAAAAAAGCAAACACCCACAGUCAACAGCAGCUGGUUGUGGAAACACCAAGCCCCAUGAUGUUUCCCUUCACUUUUGAGGUAACCUCAAACCUGAACACAACCGUGGUGUUCCUUCCCCAAGAAGACAAACUCGCAUCACAUCUGACCUCUUUACAGAGGAAACACAACCUCAGGAGGAUAAACUGCAGCUCUUUAGUCUGAUAUGCCUGGAUUCCUGAAACUUCAUCACAUUAUCUGGAAUCAGUGAGACAGGAAAAGAAACUGGACUUGUUUUAAUUUUGGUCAAUCAUACAAAACAUCAUACCAUUUACACCAUUACCUGAAUAUCAGAAUUUAGUAGUGAAGUGCCAAACUUUGAUGUAAUUCUAACAUCUUUUAAAGGUCCAGUGGGUGGGAUUUAGUGGCAUCUACUAUCAUUCACCAAGCGUGUAGAACUUAUGGUGGCCAGAAAUCUCCCAAAAAGGAGAACAUUUUUGGGAGAUUUGUGUCCUGCAGAGCCAGUGUUUGGUUUGCCCUUUCUGUGCUGAACAUGGUGGUUCAACAUGGCAGACUCCAUAGGAGAGGACCCGCUCCCUCUGAAGAUAAAAACGUGUCAUUCUGAGGUAACAAAAACACAACAAUUCCUAUUAUACACUAAUGAAAACAUACAUAUGAAAAUCAUGUUCCAGUUCUGCCAAUAGAUUAUCCUUAGUGUUACACACUGGACCUUUAAACAGUUCUGACUGCCAACAUUUUUGUUUUCAGGAAAAUUAGUCAACAAAAUUGUUGUUGUGUGUGUGUAUAUGAGGAAUAGUUUGUUAGAACAAUAUCUGGAGUCAAAUGAAAUUUAACCGUGUCCUAAAUUCAUACCAAAGGUUCUAAGCAGGGUUUUAAGUAUGUGUGUUUACACUGGAAAAGUGACAAAAUAAACUAGGCUUUAGUCAGUAUGCAGAUUGAAUACAGUCGAUUUCUGAGUGUGCUGUUGAUGGAUACUAUUCUCCCAUAAUGCAAUGCACACAGCUGAGCUAAACAAAUGUUAAUAAAUUGGGGGCUUGUGGUGUUUGGGGAAAUGUUUAUCUUUCUGAAGUUUCACUGGCUAAAUAGUUUUUCAAAUCUGCAGCUUAAUUGACAUCUGCCUAAUUCCAGUUUCCCUUAUGUUGAAAUAGUAUACUUUGAUGAUUAGGACGCAGUACAUAGUGUACUGAAUUACUAUGUAAUAUGGUUUUUGGACCCAGUAGCUUCUGACAAACUACUGUUAGUGGCAACAUGUCCUGAUUGACUGAGGAUCUUAAAGUCACUAUGUGUCAAAUAUUUUUAUUAUUUUGAUGGCUUACAUUUUUGCUUGAAGAAAAAUGUGUCUUCAGAAUUGAUGCAUUCAGUGUGACUUUCAAUGUCAAUGGGUGUAUGUGCUUUUUCCACCAUGAAAGGAAAAGAACAGGUCUGUAACCCUGUAAACAGAAAAUGACUCUGUACUACUGUGAGUACACCUGCUGUCACUCUAUUUCGUAUUGCAGAUGAAAGUUUGAUCUGUAUCUAUGUUCUUUUGAAAUAGAGCCAAAACUGUGCUCCACCUUGAAGCGAAGUUUCAGUUGUCGAAACUUACCCCACGUUAAGCACAAACUUAAAAUGUUGCAAUCUGUGCCAUUGCCACAUUAUUAUAUCAACGAAGAUAGAAUGUAAUGUUUAUAUAAUUGUGUCCAUGACAAAUACCUUAAUCUGCAUUUCAAGGUUUGUGCUUAUUUUGCAACUUAGUGCUCCUGAGAAUUGCUGCAUACAACCCAAAAUAUACUACAAAUAGAUAUUUAAGAUCUGAGAAUUUAUGUUUUUAUGUUUUGUAUGUGUAUGCAAAACACCUUUCUGUCUCUACCUGUAUCUAUAAAUAACUAUUUAUGUUUUACUGUAUGCAUAUGAAAUGGUAGAGUAGUGUAAUUUACUGUAAGCCGCCUUGGUUUCAUUGUGGUUUUAUUGAUUUUUUUAUUGAUUAAAAGUUUACAGAGUA